AAGCCAGUCUCUUCUGCCUCUAAAUGGACAUGUGUCAAGGGUCUGUUUUACAGUUUAUAUCAUCAGAUGGCCAUGAAAUUAGAUCUAAAUAGAAGGAGUCCCAUCAAGACUCUGAUGAUAGGAAGUCUUGCCACCUUGUAUCUGCAUGGGUUAGCUGCAGGACAAUAACAGACUUUAAAAGUAGCUACUACUGAGAACCAUGUGAGACUCCAUGGCUCAAUCUGAUGAUCUCUGUGCAAGGUUUCCAAUGUGCACCUCUGCAUGUGCUCUACGUGACCUGGACAGAAAACCUCUCAGGCACCGUUACUACCACUGUGUCUAGCAAAGCUUGUCCCAGGUACCCAGAAAGCAUUUUACAGCCUACAGGAAACUACUAACAUUUAAUGAGGCUAACCAGAAGUCCUGAUGGCAGAGGAUGUCCCAGCAGAGGACAGCUGCUCUGCACUGGCUGUACAGCCAGGCUGUGAGAAUUAUCACAUCGCAGGAUUGCCAUGAUUAUCAGGAAACAUUUCUUCAUCGAGGGGUGGUCAGGUACUGGGACAGCCUGCCCAGGGCAGUGGUGGAGUCACCGUUGCUGGAAGUGUUCACAAACCAUGUACAUGAGGCCCUCAGAGGUAUGGUUUAGUGGUGGCCUUGGCAAUGCUGGGGAACAGUUA